GAUGAACGCUGGCGGCGUGCUUAACACAUGCAAGUCGAACGAACCUUCGGGUUAGUGGCGGACGGGUGAGUAACGCGUGAGAAUCUGCCCUCAGGAGGGGGACAACAGCUGGAAACGGCUGCUAAUACCCCAUAUGCCGCGAGGUGAAAUGAAUUUCGCCUGAGGAUGAGCUCGCGUCUGAUUAGCUAGUUGGUGUAGGUAAUGGCUCACCAAGGCAUCGAUCAGUAGCUGGUCUGAGAGGAUGAUCAGCCACACUGGGACUGAGACACGGCCCAGACUCCUACGGGAGGCAGCAGUGGGGAAUUUUCCGCAAUGGGCGAAAGCCUGACGGAGCAACGCCGCCAGCGUUCAUCCUGAGCCAGGAUCAAACUCUU
rnacentral:rRNA from 1 species